GAUGAACGCUGGCGGCGUGCUUAACACAUGCAAGUCGAACGAAGCACUUUAUUUGAUUUCCUUCGGGACUGAUUAUUUUGUGACUGAGUGGCGGACGGGUGAGUAACGCGUGGGUAACCUGCCUUGUGCAGGGGGAUAACAGUUGGAAACGGCUGCUAAUACCGCAUAAGCGCACGGCAUCGCAUGAUGCAGUGUGAAAAACUCCGGUGGUAUAAGAUGGACCCGCGUUGGAUUAGCUAGUUGGUGAGGUAACGGCCCACCAAGGCGACGAUCCAUAGCCGACCUGAGAGGGUGACCGGCCACAUUGGGACUGAGACACGGCCCAAACUCCUACGGGAGGCAGCAGUGGGGAAUAUUGCACAAUGGGCGAAAGCCUGAUGCAGCGACGCCGCGUGAGCGAAGAAGUAUUUCGGUAUGUAAAGCUCUAUCAGCAGGGAAGAUAAUGACGGUACCUGACUAAGAAGCACCGGCUAAAUACGUG
rnacentral:rRNA from 1 species